rnacentral:lncRNA from 1 species
CGAGCGGCCGCGGGUGCUGCCCCAGGUCGUGGUGCGCCACAGCUCCCGCAAGCUCAAAUAUCCAUCGAGUCAAACGCCCUCCUCCUCCUCCACCGCGCAACGGGCCUGGCGUUUUGGAUUUCCGCGGCCCGAGAGGAAGACAGAGUGGCCUAUCACCAUUCAUUCUUUGGGAUUAAUCCUGCCAUCUGCCGUGAGGCCUUGCAUGGCCAAAGCAGCAAAGCAGGACACAAACCCAGCAAGUUUCCAGCCUUGACCUUCCGCCUGGGACGUCAGCCAUAG